rnacentral:tRNA from 1 species
GCAUUAAUAGCUCAGCUGGGAGAGACUUAGACUGAAAAUCUGAAGAUCCCUAGUUCAACCCCAGGUUUUGGCA